CCGGUUGGCUGGAGAGUGGAUGGGGGAGUGCGGGGUCGUCGCUCCUCCCCCGCUCGCGCCGCACCCUCUCCUCUUCCUCCCGCCUCGCCUCUCUCCCUCCCUCCAAACCCUAGAGCCGCCCGCGCCUCCCUGCUCCGCCGCCGUCAUCUCCUUCGCCCGGCCGGCCGCCGCUGCACCGCACGCCCGUGCGUAGGGGCGAGAAGGAGAACCACCGCCCGCCCCCGGAGCGCGAGGAGGACGGCGCUAACGCCGAGAUCGCGCACAUCGAGCCCGAGAUCCUGCGCCUCUCCUUCAAUUUCCUCCACCUCCGCGUCUUCCGGGGCCACGACGCGCAGCCGAGCGGGACGGGGCCGCGGGCGAGGGGGGAGGCCUCGCCCCCCUUGAUCUGGACGGGGCCGCGGCCUGCCUACACCACCGCCAGCCCGCCGCCGCGACGCGCCUUGCAGGCCGACGCCUCCGCUGCCCCGCCACCGGUACAGGAGCCCAGCAGCUCCUCCCUCCCUGGAGGAGCUGCUCCCGCCCAACAGCGCCUUCCUCCCUGGAGCAGCCGCUCCCGCCUAGCAACGCCGCGGCCCGAAGUUGCGCCGGCGACCCGUCCAGAGGCAGUCGCAGAUGAUUGAUCAACAGACCUACCUAUGAAGGUAGAGUGGAAGAACUGGAAAUAAAGAUGCAGGGAAAGGACAAUGAUGCUGCAACAUCACUUGUUUCAUGGCAUAAAGAGACAGAGCUGGUUCAAGGGUAGAGCCAUAGAUUUAGCCUCUAAAAAUAGGCUCUGAACAAAUUUAACCACGAUAUGCACGCAAGGGCAGUGAUGUCUUUUACUACUUGAGAGGCCCAACAAGCCACUAGAUGCUACCAGCACUUCACAAGGACACAAAAUACCAACAGUGGAAGACACCUAAGGUAAAAAUUCAAAGGAAAGUACUAUUGCCGAGCCACCUUACCAUCACAAGUAUUUGCCUGAGCUCUGGUGAUUACUCCCAAGGAUUAGUCCAACAAAUACCAUUACUGAGGAGAACAGCAGCCUCGGCGCGGUGAUCAAGUCGCUCCUUAGCGCGGAUAAGUAGUGCCACCUGGCCAGCGGCAGAAAGUCCGCCGAUCGUCGGGAUCUGCUUCAUGGACGGCGCCUGGAAGAAGCUCAAUGACCAGACCAUCGUCCUCUCCAAGAGGAGGGGUCGGCUCAAGCAGUCAGACUUUGGCGAGCUGUGAAGAUUUUGCUUUUAGUCACAGAGAUAGGCUUCAAAUGUUAUCUACCUUGGUAAGGUGAUUCGUUGUCUUCAGCUGGUAUGUUUGAGCCUGUGCCAGGUUCAGUUAGCGAUAAUAACACCAACGGCUAAUUGUGAUAUUAUUUAUAGAGUUUUCAUAUUUAUCAUUAGGAUGAUGAAGCCUGUCAAGUAUUAUCCAAUACUAAUUAGCUUUGCCUCAGAACUUGGAAAGAGAAAGUAGAGUUAUCAAUAAUGAUCAGCUAUAAGGUACCAUUGAUAUCGAUGUUUCUAGAACAUCGUUUCUUUUGGUAUCCUGGGCCACAAGUACACUUUUCUUUUGGUAUAUAUUUGAUCUGCAUGCCCUAUAUUAAACUCGGUUAUCCUGGGCAGCAACUGUACCUUGCGCUUGAUAUAUCUUUGUAUUGUUUGUGAUAUAUACUGAACACAUUUAUCCUCA